CGCGCUCGGCGGACGCGCCAGGCCCCGCCCCCGCCCCCGCCCCCGCCCCGAGGCUCUCACGCCGCCUCCUCCGCCCGGGCUUCCCUCCACCCUCCGCCCGCCCGCCUGCUCUCAGCCGCGCUCUCCCCGCCCCUCACCGCAGCCUGCAGCCGCGCUCACCUCCGCGGUCCGCCCCGGCGCCCCGGGACCCGUUAGUGCCCAGCCUGUGGGCCGACCGCGACCCCCGCCCGGCGCGAGCCUGCCCCCAGCUCUGCCGACACUUGACCCAGACCAGUCCCAACGCCCAGUGCGGCCGCCCGGGGAGCCGCGGGAGAGGCGGCGGCGGGGGGAGGAGGGAGAGGAGGGCCGAGCCGGCGGCACGGGAGGCCCGGUUUUGAAGCCGCUUCUCUGCCCGAGUUAGGUUUCGCCCAGCGCAAUUUCUUUCUCUAUGUACUUUGCGAAUAAGUUUCGGAGCAUCGGUUAACAGCCUAUGGGUGAAAUUUGGCUUUCAUUCAUGAAUGAGAAAUUAUUCUUGACAGAAGUAUUUUAAAAGAAAAAUCUUUACGAUGGCCUCAGCAGUACUUAGUUCUGUUCCCACCACCGCUUCUCGUUUUGCCCUGUUACAAGUGGAUAGUGGCAGUGGCUCUGAUUCUGAACCUGGAAAAGGUAAAGGUCGAAAUACUGGAAAGUCUCAAACUUUAGGAAGCAAGUCAACUACAAAUGAGAAAAAAAGAGAG
rnacentral:lncRNA from 1 species